CUAGCCACCUGCAGGGGAGAUACCACCAUCAGGAGGGGGAUUUUCCCCGGGAGAGGCCGACCAUUGCCCUCGGCAUCUGCUGGCCUGCGAGGGCCCCCUGGGGGCAACUCCACUGCAGGAUUCCUGUCCUUGGGGUUUGCAUUUGCACCCCCCCC
rnacentral:snRNA from 1 species